ACUAUUUUGGCAGAAUGAGUGUAACAGAUUUAGAAUCUGUGAAUGUGAUUUAUAAAUCAUAGAUAGUA
rnacentral:tRNA from 1 species